UAUUCUGUUCUUGUGUCCUCUGCUAUAC
rnacentral:piRNA from 1 species